rnacentral:tRNA from 1 species
CGGGGUGUAGCUCAGUCCGAUCAGAGCGCUCGGUUCGGAUCCGAGAGGCCAGGCUUGGACCAUUGGGGUUCAAAUCCUCGCACCCCGACCA